AUUGAACGCUGGCGGCAGGCUUAACACAUGCAAGUCGAGCGGGGUGAUGGUGCUUGCACUAUCACUUAGCGGCGGACGGGUGAGUAAUGCUUAGGAAUCUGCCUAUUAGUGGGGGACAACAUCUCGAAAGGGAUGCUACUACCGCAUAAGUCCGACGGGAGAAAGCAGGGGAUCACUUGUGACCUUGCGCUAAUAGAUGAGCUUAAGUCGGAUUAGCUAGUUGGUGGGGUAAAGGCCUACCAAUGCGACGAUCUGUAGCGAGUCAGAGAGGAUGAUCCGCCACACUGGGACUGAGACACGGCCCAGACUCCUACGGGAGGCAGCAGUGGGGAAUAUUGGACAAUGGGGGGAACCCUGAUCCAGCCAUGCCGCGUGUGUGAAGAAGGCCUUAUGGUUGUAAAGCACUUUAAGCGAGGAGGAGGCUCUUUUGGUUAAUACCCAAGAUGAGUGUACGUUACUCGCAGAAUAAGCACCGGCUAACUCUGUGCCAGCAGCCGCCGUAA
rnacentral:rRNA from 1 species